AAAACUUUCAACAACGGAUCUCUUGGUUCUGGCAUCGAUGAAGAACGCAGCGAAAUGCGAUAAGUAAUGUGAAUUGCAGAAUUCAGUGAAUCAUCGAAUCUUUGAACGCACAUUGCGCCCUUUGGAUAUUCCGAGGGGCAUGCCUGUUCGAGCGUCAUUA
rnacentral:rRNA from 1 species